rnacentral:rRNA from 1 species
UACGUAGGGGGCAAGCGUUGUCCGGAUUUAUUGGGCGUAAAGAGCGUGUAGGCGGCCAUACAGGUCAGCUGUGAAAACUCGAGGCUCAACCUCGAGACGUCGGUUGAAACCGUAUGGCUAGAGUCCGGAAGAGGAGAGUGGAAUUCCCGGUGUAGCGGUGAAAUGCGCAGAUAUCGGGAAGAACACCUAUGGCGAAGGUAGCUCUCUGGGACGGUACUGACGCUGAGACGCGAAAGCGUGGGGAGCGAACAGG